rnacentral:rRNA from 1 species
CGUGUAGGCGGUUGACUAAGUCAGUUGUCAAAUUUCUUGGCUUAACCAAGAGUCGGCAAUUGAUACUGGUUGACUAGAGGGCAAGAGAGAGAGGUGGAAUUCUCGGAGUAGCGGUAAAAUGCGUAGAUCUCGGGAGGAACACCAGUUGCGAAGGCGGCCUCUUGGCUUGUCCCUGACGCUAAAGCGCGAAAGCGUGGGGAGCAAACAGGAUUAGAUACCCUGGUAGUCC